rnacentral:rRNA from 1 species
AUUGAACGCUGGCGGCAUGCUUUACACAUGCAAGUCGAACGGUAACAGGUUAAGCUGACGAGUGGCGAACGGGUGAGUAAUGCAUCGGAACGUGCCCGGUCGUGGGGGAUAACGCAGCGAAAGCUGCGCUAAUACCGCAUACGAUCUGAGGAUGAAAGCGGGGGACCGUAAGGCCUCGCGCGAUCGGAGCGGACGAUGUCAGAUUAGGUAGUUGGUGGGGUAAAGGCUCACCAAGCACACGAUCUGUAGCUGGUCUGAGAGGACGACCAGCCACACUGGGACUGAGACACGGCCCAGACUCCGACGGGAGGCAGCAGUGGGGAAUUUUGGACAAUGGGCGAAAGCCUGAUCCGGCAAUGCCGCGUGCAGGAAGAAGGCCUUCGGGUUGUAAACUGCUUUUGUACGGAGCGAAAAGGUCUCCUCUAAUACAGGGGGCUCAUGACGGUACCGUAAGAAUAAGCACCGGCUAACUACGUGCCAGCAGCCGCCGUAA